rnacentral:miRNA from 1 species
UAGGUGGCAGAGGAGGGACUUCA